rnacentral:rRNA from 1 species
GACAGAGGGUGCAAACGUUGCUCGGAAUUACUGGGCGUAAAGCGCGUGUAGGCGGACUGGUGUGUCGGAUGUGAAAUCCCCAGGCUCAACCUGGGAAUUGCAUUUGAGACUGCGUAGCUAGGGUGCGGAAGAGGGAAGCGGAAUUUCCGGUGUAGCGGUGAAAUGCGUAGAUAUCGGAAGGAACACCAGUGGCGAAAGCGGCUUCCUGGUCCAGCACCGACGUUCAGGCACGAAAGCGUGGGGAGCAAACAGG